GAUGAAGAACGCAGCGAAAAGCGAUAAGUAAUGUGAAUUGCAGAAUUCAGUGAAUCAUCGAGUCUUUGAACGCACAUUGCGCCCCCUGGUAUUCCGGGGGGCAUGCCUGUCCGAGCGUCAUUGCCGCCCUCAAGCACGGCUUGUGUGUUGGGCCCCCGCCCCCCGGCUUCGGGGGGCGGGCCCGAAAGGCAGCGGCGGCACCGCGUCCGGUCCUCGAGCGUAUGGGGCUUCGUCACCCGCUCUGUAGGCCCGGCCGGCGCCCGCCGGCGACCCCAAUCAAUCUUUCCAGGUUGACCUCGGAUCAGGUAGGGAUACCCGCUGAACUUAAGCAUAUCAAUAAGCGGAGGA
rnacentral:misc_RNA from 1 species